rnacentral:rRNA from 1 species
UAGGGAAUAUUGGUUAAUGUGCGAAAGCGCGAACCAGCAACGCCGCGUGUGCGAUGAAGGCCUUCGGGUCGUAAAGCACUUUUUGCAGGGAAGAGGAAGGACGGUACCUGCAGAAUAAGUCUCGGCUAACUACGUGCCAGCAGCCGCGGUAAAACGUAGGAGACGAGCGUUAUCCGGAUUUACUGGGCGUAAAGCGCGUGCAGGCGGCAUGGCAAGUUGGAUGUGAAAGCUCCCGGCUUAACUGGGAGAAGUCGUUCAAUACUGCC